GCUCAGGAUGAACGCUAGCUACAGGCCUAACACAUGCAAGUCGAGGGGCAGCAUGAUUGAAGCUUGCUUCAAUUGAUGGCGACCGGCGCACGGGUGAGUAACGCGUAUCCAACCUGCCCUUUACUCGGGGAUAGCCUUUCGAAAGAAAGAUUAAUACCCGAUGGUUUCCUUUGCCUGCAUGGACAGAGGAAUAAAGAUUUAUCGGUAAAGGAUGGGGAUGCGUUCCAUUAGAUAGUAGGCGGGGUAACGGCCCACCUAGUCUACGAUGGAUAGGGGUUCUGAGAGGAAGGUCCCCCACAUUGGAACUGAGACACGGUCCAAACUCCUACGGGAGGCAGCAGUGAGGAAUAUUGGUCAAUGGACGAGAGUCUGAACCAGCCAA
rnacentral:rRNA from 1 species